AGUCUGCAACUCGACUACAUGAAGCUGGAAUCGCUAGUAAUCGCGAAUCAGAAUGUCGCGGUGAAUACGUUCCCGGGUCUUGUACACACCGCCCGUCACACCAUGGGAGUCAGCAACGCCCGAAGCCGGUGACCCAACCGAGAGGAGGGAGCCGUCGAAGGUGGGGCCGAUAACUGGGGUGAAGUCGUAACAAGGUACC
rnacentral:rRNA from 1 species